UACGGGGGGGGCAAGCGUUGUUCGGAAUUACUGGGCGUAAAGGGCUCGUAGGUGGCCAACUAAGUCAGACGUGAAAUCCCUCGGCUUAACCGGGGAACUGCGUCUGAUACUGGAUGGCUAGAGUUUGGGAGAGGGAUGCGGAAUUCCAGGUGUAGCGGUGAAAUGCGUAGAUAUCUGGAGGAACACCGGUGGCGAAGGCGGCAUCCUGGACCAACACUGACGCUGAGGCGCGAAGGCCAGGGGAGCAAACGGG
rnacentral:rRNA from 1 species